rnacentral:rRNA from 1 species
UACGGAGGGUGCAAGCGUUAAUCGGAAUUACUGGGCGUAAAGCGCACGCAGGCGGUUGAGUGAGCCAGGUGGGAAAUCCCCGGGCUUAACCUGGGAAUUGCAUCUGAAACUGGUUAGCUAGAGUGUUGGAGAGGGGGGUAGAAUUCCAUGUGUAGCGGUGAAAUGCGUAGAGAUGUGGAGGAAUACCGGUGGCGAAGGCGGCCCCCUGGACAAAGACUGACGCUCAGGUGCGAAAGCGUGGGGAGCAAACAGG